rnacentral:rRNA from 1 species
GACGAACGCUGGCGGCGUGCUUAACACAUGCAAGUCGAACGGAAAGGCCCUGCUUGCAGGGUACUCGAGUGGCGAACGGGUGAGUAACACGUGGGUGAUCUGCCCUGCACUUCGGGAUAAGCCUGGGAAACUGGGUCGAAUACCGGAUAGGAGCCAUUUUUAGUGUGAUGGUUGGAAAGUUUUUUCGGUGUAGGAUGAGCUCGCGGCCUAUCAGCUUGUUGGUGGGGUAAUGGCCUACCAAGGCGGCGACGGGUAGCCGGCCUGAGAGGGUGGACGGCCACAUUGGGACUGAGAUACGGCCCAGACUCCUACGGGAGGCAGCAGUGGGGAAUAUUGCACAAUGGGCGCAAGCCUGAUGCAGCGACGCCGCGUGGGGGAUGACGGCCUUCGGGUUGUAAACUCCUUUCGCUAGGGACGAAGCUUUUUGUGACGGUACCUAGAUAAGAAGCACCGGCUAACUACGUG